rnacentral:rRNA from 1 species
AGACGAACGCGCGGCGUGCUUAACACAUGCAAGUCGAACGCUGAAGCACCAGCUUGCUGGUGUGGAUGAGUGGCGAACGGGUGAGUAAUACGUGAGUAACCUGCCCUUGACUCUGGGAUAAGCCCGGGAAACUGGGUCUAAUACUGGAUGCUACAUGUCACCGCAUGGUGGUGUGUGGAAAGGGUUUACUGGUCUGGGAUGGGCUCACGGCCUAUCAGCUUGUUGGUGAGGUAAUGGCUCACCAAGGCGACGACGGGUAGCCGGCCUGAGAGGGUGACCGGCCACACUGGGACUGAGACACGGCCCAGACUCCUACGGGAGGCAGCAGUGGGGAAUAUUGCACAAUGGGCGAAAGCCUGAUGCAGCGACGCCGCGUGAGGGAUGACGGCCUUCGGGUUGUAAACCUCUUUCAGCAGGGAAGAAGCCACAAGUGACGGUACCUGCAGAAGAAGCGCCGGCUAACUACGUGCCAGCAGCCGCGGUAAUACGUAGGGCGCAAGCGUUGUCCGGAAUUAUUGGGCGUAAAGAGCUCGUAGGCGGUUUGUCGCGUCUGCUGUGAAAGCCCGGGGCUUAACCCCGGGUGUGCAGUGGGUACGGGCAGACUAGAGUGCAGUAGGGGAGACUGGAAUUCCUGGUGUAGCGGUGGAAUGCGCAGAUAUCAGGAGGAACACCGAUGGCGAAGGCAGGUCUCUGGGCUGUUACUGACGCUGAGGAGCGAAAGCAUGGGGAGCGAACAGGAUUAGAUACCCUGGUAGUCCAUGCCGUAAACGUUGGGCACUAGGUGUGGGGGACAUUCCACGUUUUCCGCGCCGUAGCUAACGCAUUAAGUGCCCCGCCUGGGGAGUACGGCCGCAAGGCUAAAACUCAAAGGAAUUGACGGGGGCCCGCACAAGCGGCGGAGCAUGCGGAUUAAUUCGAUGCAACGCGAAGAACCUUACCAAGGCUUGACAUAUACCGGAUCGUUCCAGAGAUGGUUCUUCCCCUUUGGGGUCGGUAUACAGGUGGUGCAUGU